rnacentral:rRNA from 1 species
CAGUAGCCGCGGUAAUACGUAGGGUGCAAGCGUUAAUCGGAAUUACUGGGCGUAAAGCGUGCGCAGGCGGUUCGGAAAGAAAGAUGUGAAAUCCCAGGGCUCAACCUUGGAACUGCAUUUUUAACUACCGGACUAGAGUGUGUCAGAGGGAGGUGGAAUUCCACGUGUAGCAGUGAAAUGCGUAGAUAUGUGGAGGAACACCGAUGGCGAAGGCAGCCUCCUGGGAUAACACUGACGCUCAUGCACGAAAGCGUGGGGAGCGAACAGGAUUAGAUACCCCAGUAGUCCCUGUCUCUUAUAA